rnacentral:tRNA from 1 species
AUUUAAUUAGUUUAUUUAGAAUAAUAAUUUGUGGUAUUAUAGGUGUAAUAUUUACUUUAAAUC